GACGAACGCUGGCGGCGUGCUUAACACAUGCAAGUCGAACGGAAAGGCCCUGCUUUUGUGGGGUGCUCGAGUGGCGAACGGGUGAGUAACACGUGAGUAACCUGCCCUUGACUUUGGGAUAACUUCAGGAAACUGGGGCUAAUACCGGAUAGGAGCUCCUGCUGCAUGGGGGGGGUUGGAAAGUUUCGGCGGUUGGGGAUGGACUCGCGGCUUAUCAGCUUGUUGGUGGGGUAGUGGCUUACCAAGGCUUUGACGGGUAGCCGGCCUGGGAGGGUGACCGGCCACAUUGGGACUGGGAUACGGCCCAGACUCCAACGGGAGGCAGCAGUGGGGAAUAUUGCACAAUGGGCGGAAGCCUGAUGCAGCAACGCCGCGUGCGGGAUGACGGCCUUCGGGUUGUAAACCGCUUUCGCCUGUGACGAAGCGUGAGUGACGGUAAUGGGUAAAGAAGCACCGGCUAACUACGU
rnacentral:rRNA from 1 species